ACGCAGCGCGGCGGGGCCGCCUCGCCUCGGCCGGGGGGCAACAGGAUCACCGGACGGGCCAGGCUGGGAGGGACCACACCGGGUCAGCUGGUCCAGCCUCCCUGCCCCUCUCGAGUGAGGGAGACUCCACAGCCUCUCUGGGCAAUGUGUUUUAGUGCUCGAUCACCUCGACAGUAAAGUUGUUCGUAUUCAGGUGGAACUUCCCUUCCUGUACAUCGGUUUCUGCCCAUUGACUCUUGUCCUAUUACUUGGCACCACGGAGAAGAGGCUGCUCCAUCUUCUUGACAUCCAUCCUUUAGAGAUUUGGAAGAACCUUGAAAACUGCUUUUCCUGCUCUCUAGAGUAGAUUGCCGCCACCCCCUCCAUUUUUGCCGAGGUGGAGGGGCAGAAUCAAGUCUUCCAACAAUAAAUUACUUUCAAAGCACACUGUGGUCUGUCAUCAAAAAUGCAUGACUACACUGAACACCACCAGUAAGUUCAACAGCAAAAAGGAUGAAAAUAAUUUCAAAUAAUGUAAGAUAGGAUGUGAACGGACAGAUGUGAUGCUGAUUUAACCUUGUGCAUAACUCCACAGCUCUUUCAGGAGACCAGAGUGUUUUACUGUGAAAUGACAUCUAAUCUUGAAUUGUUUAUUCAGAAGUUCAACUAUUUAGUCAAUAGUUCUGCUCUGAGACAACACAGUCACAUUAAACUGGUACAAAGUGAACUCAGUCAAGUCUUUAACUGACCAGUACCCUGUGGUGUCCAAUGAAAUAGAUUUUUAGUUUGAUGACAUACUUCUCAGGUUAGGAACUUUUUUUAUUCGUAACUCAUCACAGCAUUCUUCACUACUCAAGACUGCCCAGCCUAGUUUAGAAAGUAUUCCUAACAGGUCACUUGCUGCAAAACUGAUUCUAAGUUCACUUUCUGUAUCUUUCAUAAUUAAUAGUGCUCUUGAACACAGAAAAGUAAAAAUUGACAGACCU